rnacentral:misc_RNA from 1 species
GAUGAAGAACGUAGCGAAAUGCGAUAAGUAACGUGAAUUGCAGAAUUCAGUGAAUCAUCGAAUCUUUGAACGCACCUUGCGCCCUUUGGCUAUUCCGAAGGGCAUGCCUGUUUGAGUAUCAUGAACACCUCAACUCUCAUGGUUUGCCAUGAUGAGCUUGGACUCUGGGGGUCUUGCUGGCUUAUGGUCAGCUCCUCUUAAAUGAAUCAGCUUUCCAGUGUUUGGUGGCAUCACAGGUGUGAUAACUAUCUACGCUUGUGGUGUCCUCCCAGGUAACCUUCAGCAAUGGAGGUUGCUGGAGCUAAUAAAUGCACAUCUCUCAUUGUGGAGAUGGCCUUUUAGAUGUUUGAUCUCAAAUCAGGAAGGACUACCCGCUGAACUUAAGCAUAUCAAUAAGCGGAGGA